rnacentral:lncRNA from 1 species
CAAAAUGCAAGUUGUUCGUUCUCUGCAAAGAAGUUAUCGAUGUUCCUGUUCAAGACCAAGCGGCCAACUGGCUGCAGGGGAAUAAUAUCCUCUGGCCAGGUCUUGGUUACAUCAAGUGGGUCAAAGUCAAAUCUAUCCUCAUGAUCAGGAUCAAUAGUCUGGAUGUAAAGUUUCCACUCAGGAUAGUUGCCAGCUGCAAUUGAGUCAUACAAAUCCUGAGUCGCAUGACUGUGAUUGGAUCCUCCAACCCGAAUUGCCUCAUCCUCCAACAAAGAUUUAACUCCACAAGUGGGCUUCCAGUGAAAUUUCACAUAAUGUGCCUUUCCAG